UACGGGGGGGGCAAGCGUUGUUCGGAUUUACUGGGCGUAAAGGGCGCGUAGGCGGCCUUGUCAGUCAGGCGUGAAAGCCCCGGGCUCAACCUGGGAACGGCGCUUGGGACGGCGAGGCUGGAGUUCGGGAGAGGAGAGUGGAAUUCCCAGUGUAGAGGUGAAAUUCGUAGAUAUUGGGAAGAACACCGGUGGCGAAGGCGGCUCUCUGGACCGACACUGACGCUGAGGCACGAAAGCGUGGGGAGCAAACAGG
rnacentral:rRNA from 1 species